rnacentral:lncRNA from 1 species
UUCUUUUGCUUCGAAACAAAAAUAUUGCUAGUAAUUAAAUUUAAAAUAUUUAUUGUAAAGUUAUUUAAGAUAGUUAUUAAACCAACCUAAUAUCUUAGUACGACAGCAACUUGAUAUAACGUUUGCGCAAUUAUGUUUGGGAUACAAUUUUGAUAUUACUUAAUCCUUGUUUGAGCUUUUUUUUUUUUUUUUUUGUACGAUUAAAAAGUAGCUAAAAAAAUAAUUUUCCCUUUUAGGAUUAUAUAAUUGAAAAUGAAUGUGAAAAUAAAUUAUUUUUGAUUAAUCACUUAAGACCAGAGCUUGGAAUUGAAUUUUAUAUCAAUUGAUCAAACCUUUUAAGAGGACAACAAUUACGGGAAAGUAAAAGGGUUGGGUCAAAAAUCUAAAUAGAAUGUGAAAAAGAAUAUUAGUAAAGUUAAAAAAAUGCACAUUUUUCUUAUGUUUGGCGCCGCAAAGAUAACAUUAGACGCCGGCUUAGAAAGGGAGCUGUGGAAUUUUCCUAAAAAGCACGUGUAAUUUUAGUUUGAGAGAAUCUAAUUGUGGAUAUAACCAGCAUAUUCUUUUCAAAUUUCAAUUAACAAAGCAUAUUCUUUUCAAAAUACAAUUCUUUCAUAUUAUUCUACUUACGGAAAUUUUGAAAAUAAGAAUUCAAUAAAAAAAAUUAAGAAAAUAAAUAUUAUAAACCCCAUGUUAUCCAUCUAAUUAUACGUAGCUCAAUAAUUAAAUCCAUAUCUCCCAUCUAAUCAAGACAAACUAAAUGUCAUGCAUGACGUGACUUGACUUUUUAAUUUUAUGGUACUAUGGCAAAGGUAGGUUAGCUCGGAUCAAAUUUUUUUCGAUGACACAACCUCACGUACUUAUCUUAAUGA